rnacentral:rRNA from 1 species
GUCCACGCCGUAAACGAUGAGUGCUAGGCGCCGGAGGAUUGACCCCGUCGGUGCCGCAGCUAACGCGUUAAGCACUCCGCCUGGGGAGUACGGUCGCAAGACUAAAACUCAAAGGAAUUGACGGGGGCCCGCACAAGCGGUGGAGCAUGUGGUUUUAAUUCGACGCUACGCGCAGAACCUUACCUGGGUUAAAUCCACCAGAACCUGGCCCAAAAGCCGGGGUGCCCUUCGGGGAAUUGGUCCGAAGGUGCUGCAUGGCUGUCGU